rnacentral:tRNA from 3 species
GGCUCGGUAGCUCAGUCGGUAGAGCAGGGGAUUGAAAAUCCCCGUGUCGGCGGUUCGAUUCCGUCCCGAGCCACCA